ACUGGGUUGGCCGAGUGGUUAAGGCGUUGGACUUAAGUUCCAAUGAACAAGUGUCCGCGUGGGUUCGAACCCCACACCCAGUA
rfam:Ciona savignyi cont_32255, whole genome shotgun sequence.